AGCGGCUUUGAAUAAAGACUGAAGAACACGAACCUGUGCAAGAGGCACAAAACCAUCUGCUUAGUGGUCAUGUGGCAGCAGACAGUAUCUCAGAAGUCCUCGCAGCAUGUGACUUCACUGAUGAAGAUGGAUCACACCUGAGCAGGGAUUCUUGAUCUCUGCAAAACAGCUCAUACACAACAGGAACAAUCUCACAGAUAAGAAAAACUCCAGAAGUUGGUCUCGGGCUAUGAAAAUGUCUGCCACAAUAUGAUUUAUGUGAAAAUAAAUAAAGUGGGUCUACUACUUUA
rnacentral:antisense_RNA from 1 species